GACGAACGCUGGCGGCGUGCUUAACACAUGCAAGUCGAGCGGAAAGGCCCUUCGGGGUACUCCAGAGGCGAACGGGUGAGUAACACGUGAGUAACCUGCCCCAGACUUUGGGAUUCCCCUCGGAUACGGGGGCUAAUCCUGGAUACGUCACAGCUUCGCACUGGGUCUGUGUGGAAAGUUUUUCGGUUUGGGAUGGGCUUGCGGCCUAUGAGCUCGUAGGUGAGGUGAUGGCCUACAAAGGCGACGACGGGCAGCCGGCCUGAGAGGGCGACCGGCCACACUGGGACUCGGACGCGACCCAGGGGCCUACGGGAGGAAGCAGUGGGGAAUAUUGCACAAUGGGCCGAGGCCGGAUGCAGCGACGCCGCGUGGGGAAGGACGGCCUUCGGGUUGUAAACCUAUUUCAGCAGGAACGAGGCGUAAGGGACGUUACCUGAAGAAGAAGCGCCGGCAAACUACUU
rnacentral:rRNA from 1 species